UACGUAGGGUGCGAGCGUUAAUCGGAAUUACUGGGCGUAAAGCGCGCGCAGGCGGCUCUUUAAGUCUCGUGGUCAAAUGCCGGGGCUCAACCCCGAGCGUGCCGGGGAUACUGGAGGGCUGGAGACAGGUAGAGGCAAGCGGAAUUCCGGGUGUAGCGGUGGAAUGCGUAGAGAUCCGGAAGAACACCGGAGGCGAAGGCGACUACCUGGCCUGUUCUUGACGCUGAGGCGCGAAAGCUAGGGGAGCAAACGGG
rnacentral:rRNA from 1 species